rnacentral:ncRNA from 2 species
CUUGGCUCCGGCGAUGGAUCCCGCCAGGGUUCGAUUGUCGGCCGCGUCGGCGGCCGGCGCGGCCCGAACCGCCGACACCGGCUGAUGGUUCCUUUCCGAUC